rnacentral:rRNA from 1 species
CCCUUAGAUGUUCUGGGCCGCACGCGCGCUACACUGACGAAUGCAACGAGCUUAUAACCUUGGCCGAAAGGUCUGGGUAAUCUCCAAAUUUCGUCGUGAUGGGGAUAGAUUAUUGCAAUUAUUAAUCUUCAACGAGGAAUGCCUAGUAAGCGCAAGUCAUCAGCUUGCGUUGAUUACAUCCCUGCCCUUUGUACACACCGCCCGUCGCUCCUACCGAUUGAAUGGUCCGGUGAAGCGUUCGGACCGUGGCCUUUGGACGGUUCGCCGUCUGUUGGCUGCGGGAAGUUCGUUAAACCUUAUCAUUUAGAGGAAGGAGAAGUCGUANCA